rnacentral:rRNA from 1 species
AACGAACGCUGGCGGCAGGCUUAACACAUGCAAGUCGAGCGCCCACUUCGGUGGGAGCGGCAGACGGGUGAGUAACGCGUGGGAACCUACCUAUAUCUACGGAACAACAGUUGGAAACGACUGCUAAUACCGUAUACGCCCUUCGGGGGAAAGAUUUAUCGGAUAUAGAUGGGCCCGCGUUAGAUUAGCUAGUUGGUAAGGUAAAGGCUUACCAAGGCGACGAUCUAUAGCUGGUUUGAGAGGAUGAUCAGCCACACUGGGACUGAGACACGGCCCAG